rnacentral:rRNA from 1 species
UACGAAGGGGGCUAGCGUUGCUCGGAAUGACUGGGCGUAAAGGGCGCGUAGGCGGGUACCUCAGUCGGGGGUGAAAUCCCCGGGCUCAACCCGGGGCGGGCGCCCGAGACGGGGGGUCUGGAGUGGGGGAGAGGGUCGCGGAAUUCCCAGUGUAGAGGUGAAAUUCGUAGAUAUUGGGAAGAACACCGGUGGCGAAGGCGGCGACCUGGCCCGUUACUGACGCUGAGGCGCGAAAGCGUGGGGAGCAAACAGG